rnacentral:rRNA from 1 species
UACGUAGGGGGCUAGCGUUGUCCGGAAUCACUGGGCGUAAAGGGCGCGUAGGCGGCCUGAUAAGUAGGGGGUGAAAUCCUGCGGCUUAACCGCAGGGCUGCCUUCUAAACUGUCAGGCUAGAGCACAGUAGAGGCAGGUGGAAUUCCCGGUGUAGCGGUGGAAUGCGUAGAGAUCGGGCGGAACACCAGCGGCGAAGGCGGCAUCCUGGCCCUGACCUGACGCUGAGGCGCGAGAGCGUGGGGAGCAAACAGG